CCCUUAGAUGUUCUGGGCCGCACGCGUGCUACACUGAGUGGAUCAGCGGGUCAGGUUGCGCGAAAGUGUUUCCUAAUCUUGAAAUCCGCUCGUGAUGGGGAUUGACGGUUGCAAUUUUCCGUCAUGAACGAGGAAUACCUUGUAAGCGCGGGUCAUCAUCCCGCGCUGAAUACGUCCCUGCCCUUUGUACACACCGCCCGUCGCUCCUACCGAUUGAGUGGUCCGGUGAGGCUUUGGGAUCUGAGCGGAAAGAGCGUUUCGCUGUUUCUGCUCGGAAAACUCAGUCGAACCUUAUCAUUGAGAGGAAGGAGAAGUCGUAACA
rnacentral:rRNA from 1 species